ACGUGGGUCUGUUCAGGAGGGAGGGAGAUAAAAAAAAACAAAAAGAAACGAACCCCCGUCGACACGCCUUCCACAGGGGAGCGUUGAAUUAUUCACCGGUGUGCCGCCGCACGGGCGGAGACUAAGCAGGACCGCGACUGACCGCGGAACACCGUCCAUCCUCUGUGUUCCACUUUCUGGCUGUUUUCGCUGGAAACUUCGGCUCUGUCAGCAUUUUCUCCUCUCAGCUCUUGUUUGUCAGGGUUUGACUGGGAAUUUUUCACCGGGGGAGAAAGAAACAGAGAACGGGCGAGUGCCGGGAGAAGCGAAGAAAUUAAGAAGUGUCAGCAGUUCUUCUCACACCGGAUACGUCUGUCAGUGGGAUGUUAAAUCUCUGGAUGCAGGACCAGGACUGACUGAAGGAGCAUGGUGAAGCACCAACCCCUGCAGGUCUAUGAACGGCAGCUGUGUUUGUCAUGCAUCACUGGGUUCUACGGUUGCCGCUGGAAACGCUACCAACGUUCCCAUGAUGACACCACUAAGUGGGAGUUGCUGUGGUCCUUCAUCCUGCUCUUCACCUUCUGUCUGUUGCUGGUCUGGUUCUACUUCUGGUCAGAGGCUCAUAAUGACUACAAUGAGUUUAAUUGGUUCCUCUACAACCGCUCUGGGGAGUGGAGUGAUGGCACUGUUCCAGUUCUGGCAACUACUGCUGCCGGCUUCACCUACAUUGCAUUUCUAGUGGUUUUAGCAAUUUGCCACAUCGCACUUGGGCAACAGUUGAAUUUGCACUGGCUCCAUAAGAUUGGAGUGAUUGCUGCUCUGCUUUCCACCAUUGUUGCACUGAUCGCAGUCAAUCAAAUAUGGUGGCAAGAAUGGGAUGUCAUCCCCAUAUCCCUACAGGCCACAGGUCCAUUCCUGCACAUAGGAGCUCUUGCUGCGGUCACCGCACUGGCUUGGAUUGUUGCUUCUCAGAUUGCUCAUGCAGAAAAAACAAUGUUCCAGGUGGGAAUUAUGCUUCUGUAUCUGAGCGUGUUAGUGGGCCUUUACGUGGUGCCUGUCUACAUCACUUCUCCAUGCAUUAUGAACCCUGCCAGGCUCAAACCACGGCCUGAUGUCAUUGGCCAUCAAGGUGCCCCCAUGCUUGCCCCAGAGAACACACUGUGGUCCUUCCAGAGAGCUCUGCAGAUGAAUGUCAGUGGGCUAGAGGCUGACGUGGCCAUCAGUAUGGAUGGCGUGCCUUUCUUGAUGCAUGACCACACUCUGCAGAGGACCACAGAUGUGGAGAAAGUUUUCCCAGAUAGGCAGAUGGAUGAUGCCUCAUUCUUUAACUGGACGGAUCUGCAGCAGCUCAACGCAGGGCUAUGGUUCCUCAAGGAUGACCCUUUCUGGAUGGUACACUCUCUGUCCUCCCAUGAGACUCAUCUGAUUGCCAACCAGAGUGUCUGCAGCCUGGAGCAGCUUCUUAAAUUGGCUUCUUACCACAACAGCACAGUGGUUUUCAGGUUGAGGAGACCUCCUCCUGGGCACCCCUGUUACCACAGCUGGAUCAAUGACACAGUGCAGGCUGUACGACGGUCUGGGGUACCUCAGGGCCUGGUGAUGUGGACCCCAGACACAAACAGAGCUCAGGUGAGACUGCUGGAACCUGGCCUGGUUCAGACCUCAUUGGAGAAACGGAGCCCUCAGAGCCUUCAUCAAUCCGGCAUCAGCAGGCUGCUGCUCAGAUACAGCCAGGCCAGUGCACAGGAAAUCAGAGAGUUCUCUCAGAGCAACAUCAGCCUCACUGUGUACACUGUAAAUGAGCCAUGGCUGUACUCUGUCCUCUGGUGCAGUGGAGUGUCUUCAGUUUCCUCUGAGGCCUCACAUAUCCUCAGAAAGGUGCCUUACCCAAUCUGGCUCUUGAGACCAGAGGAAUACUGCCUGAUGUGGGUGUCUGCAGACAUAGUCUCCUUUGCUGUAGUCAUUGGAAUAUUUAUUUUGCAGAACUAUCACAUGAUCAGGUUUAGGAUGAGUGGCAUGCGCAGUUACCACCCGGAGCAGAUCAUGCUGAGCGCAACGGUCGGCCGGUCCAGCCGAGACGUCAGCGUCAUGAAGGAGAAACUUAUCUUUGCCGGUCAUACCCAGUAGCAGCCUGCCUCAUCCCUCCAUGUGUGGCGUGCAUCACCCCUCCACCUUCUCUUUCAUCCCUCGCUACCUGCCAAUCUCAGCCUUCUUUGUCCUUCUCCCUUCAUGCGCCUCACCCCCGAUUGUCAUGCGGAGAUUAAACUCUGUUUUUGCUUAGUCAACCUCUAACACUGGAGGGGACAAAAGAGGUGGGGAAUGGCAUUGGCAGUGUUGAGGAGCUGUACGUGGACAAUGGCUACGACUAAUCCACCGAGAACCACUAACCAGGUCUCGACCCCUGUGGAUCUACUGCGAGUUAGACCACUGUCCUGAAGAAGAAGAGGGCGUCGCUCUGAGCGACUGGCUCGAUGGGCUCGUCUCGCAUCGUUUUCAUUUGUCCAUCUGCAUCACGUGACAUCUCCUCCUCUCUCCCACUGAUUAGCAGGCUGCUCUGUCUGAGAGAGAGAGAGCGGCCGCCCUGUCACUCUGUGCACAUUUUGUAUAUACCCCUGUCAGAUGCACUGUAAUGCACAGGAAACUGCGAGCACUUUUUUUUUUUUAUUGAUGGAAAAAUCUGCCGUCACAGCUACAAAUAAUUCCAGACUUUUAAGCUAUUUUUGUUUUGAUGCGCUGUAUACGACCUUCUAGUCCUUGCAGAUUGUCUGCCGUUUGAACCAGGCACUGGUGCAGCAAGAAGCGAAAACGUUACUGCUUGUAUGCUUCUGCCUUCUGUUGACACGACGCUUGUCUUAACGUGAGCAAUUUUAACAUACUUAUAAAGAAAAACAAUGUGUUUACAGAGGUCCUGCCUUUUCUCCUCAAACAUGUAAGAUAAUUAAUUUCAGAGGCCGGACGUUCUUUUGUCCAGCACGUCAGUUGUGAACAUAUCAGUUGAUUUGUGGGAGCUGUCCAGAACAACUCCUGAAGCACUCAUAGGAGGAACGGCGAAUGCAAAGAUGUGUAUUCUGUGUAAGAUGUUUGUAUUUUCUGGUGUGCAGUGCUUUGUUGAGUCCGUACAUAACAGCUGAACAUAUAUGUGAGCUGAUGAACAGCAUUUAAACCAAGUGACAGUGUUGAACCGUUAAAUUACAAAAA